rnacentral:rRNA from 1 species
GAUCAUGGCUCAGAUUGAACGCUGGCGGCAGGCCUAACACAUGCAAGUCGAACGGUAACAGGAAACAGCUUGCUGUUUCGCUGACGAGUGGCGGACGGGUGAGUAAUGUCUGGGAAACUGCCUGAUGGAGGGGGAUAACUACUGGAAACGGUAGCUAAUACCGCAUAACGUCGCAAGACCAAAGAGGGGGACCCUCGGGCCUCUUGCCAUCGGAUGUGCCCAGAUGGGAUUAGCUUGUUGGUGGGGUAACGGCUCACCAAGGCGACGAUCCCUAGCUGGUCUGAGAGGAUGACCAGCCACACUGGAACUGAGACACGGUCCAGACUCCUACGGGAGGCAGCAGUGGGGAAUAUUGCACAAUGGGCGCAAGCCUGAUGCAGCCAUGCCGCGUGUAUGAAGAAGGCCUUCGGGUUGUAAAGUACUUUCAGCGGGGAGGAAGGGAGUAAAGUUAAUACCUUUGCUCAUUGACGUUACCCGCAGAAGAAGCACCGGCUAACUCCGUG